GGAUUAGAUACCCUGGUAGUCCACGCCCUAAACGAUGAGAACUAGCCGUUGGGAGCAUCUAAGCUCUUAGUGGCGCAGCUAACGCGUUAAGUUCUCCGCCUGGGGAGUACGGCCGCAAGGUUAAAACUCAAAGGAAUUGACGGGGGCCCGCACAAGCGGUGGAGCAUGUGGUUUAAUUCGAUGCAACGCGAAGAACCUUACCUGCCCUUGACAUUGACAGAACCCUGGAGAGAUCCGGGGGUGCCUUCGGGCCUGGAAAACAGGUGCUGCAUGGCUGUCGUCAGCUCGUGCCG
rnacentral:rRNA from 1 species